rnacentral:rRNA from 1 species
UACGAAGGGGGCUAGCGUUGUUCGGAAUUACUGGGCGUAAAGCGCGCGUAGGCGGCUUUGCAAGUCGGGUGUGAAAUCCCCAGGCUUAACCUGGGAACUGCAUUCGAGACUGCAUUGCUAGAGUAUGGGAGAGGGAAGCGGAAUUCCCGGUGUAGUGGUGAAAUGCGUAGAUAUCGGGAGGAACACCGGUGGUGUAGACGGCUUCUGGACCGUAACUGACGCUGAGACACGAAAGCGUGGGUAGCAAACAGG